ACGCUCGACACCUACGGGAGGCAACAGUGGGGAAUAUUGCACAAUGGGGGAAACCCUGAUGCAGCGACGCCGCGUGAAGGAUGAAGUAUUUCGGUAUGUAAACUUCUAUCAGCAGGGAAGAAAGUGACGGUACCUGACUAAGAAGCCCCGGCUAACUACGUGCCUGCAGCCGCGGUAAUCUGAGCGGGCUGGCAAGGC
rnacentral:rRNA from 1 species